UUAGAGUUUGAUCCUGGCUCAGGAUGAACGCUAGCGGGAGGCUUAACACAUGCAAGUCGAGGGGCAGCACGAUGUAGCAAUACGUUGGUGGCGACCGGCGCACGGGUGAGUAACACGUAUGCAACCUACCCUGUACAGGGGGAUAACCCGGAGAAAUUCGGACUAAUACCGCAUAAUGAUAUUUGAGGGCAUCCUUAGAUAUUUAAAGCUUCGGUGGUACGGGAUGGGCAUGCGGAACAUUAGCUAGUUGGCAGGGUAAUGGCCUACCAAGGCAAUGAUGUUUAGGGGACCUGAGAGGGUGAUCCCCCACACUGGUACUGAGACACGGACCAGACUCCUACGGGAGGCAGCAGUGAGGAAUAUUGGUCAAUGGGCGGAAGCCUGAACCAGCCAUCCCGCGUGCAGGAAGACGGCCCUAUGGGUUGUAAACUGCUUUUCCAGGGGGCGAAACUUUCCGAUGUAUCGGGAUUUGACGGUACCCUGGGAAUAAGCAUCGGCUAACUCCGUGCCAGCAGCCGCGGUAAUACGGAGGAUGCGAGCGUUAUCCGGAUUUAUUGGGUUUAAAGGGUGCGUAGGCGGAUCGAUAAGUCAGUGGUGAAACCCUGCAGCUUAACUGUAGACUUGCCGUUGAUACUGUUGGUCUUGAGUGUGGUCAAGGUAGGCGGAAUGUGUAAUGUAGCGGUGAAAUGCUUAGAUAUUACACAGAACACCGAUUGCGAAGGCAGCUUACUGGGCCAUUACUGACGCUGAUGCACGAAAGCGUGGGGAUCGAACAGGAUUAGAUACCCUGGUAGUCCACGCCGUAAACGAAGAUCACUCGCUGUUGGCGAUACACAGUCAGCGGGUAAGCAAAAGCAUUAAGUGAUCCACCUGGGGAGUACGGCCGCAAGGCUGAAACUCAAAGGAAUUGACGGGGGCCCGCACAAGCGGUGGAGCAUGUGGUUCAAUUCGACGCAACGCGAAGAACCUUACCUGGGCUCGAACGGCUGGUCAACGACCGUGGAAACAUGGUUACUCCGCAAGGGGGUCCAGUCGAGGUGCUGCAUGGCUGUCGUCAGCUCGUGUCGUGAGAUGUUGGGUUAAGUCCCGCAACGAGCGCAACCCUUGUCCUGUGUUGCUAACCGAAAGGCGCACUCUCAGGAGACCGCCAGCGAUAAGUUGGAGGAAGGUGGGGAUGACGUCAAGUCAUCAUGGCCCUUAUGUCCAGGGCUACACACGUGCUACAAUGGCCGGUACAAACCGCCGCAAACCCGCGAGGGGGAGCAAAUCGGAAAAAACCGGUCUCAGUUCGGAUUGCAGGCUGCAACUCGCCUGCAUGAAGCUGGAAUCGCUAGUAAUGGCGCAUCAGAAUGGCGCCGUGAAUACGUUCCCGGGCCUUGUACACACCGCCCGUCAAG
rnacentral:rRNA from 1 species